GAUGAACGCUGGCGGCGUGCCUAAUACAUGCAAGUCGAGCGAACGGACGAGAAGCUUGCUUCUCUGAUGUUAGCGGCGGACGGGUGAGUAACACGUGGAUAACCUACCUAUAAGACUGGGAUAACUUCGGGAAACCGGAGCUAAUACCGGAUAAUAUUUUGAACCGCAUGGUUCAAAAGUGAAAGACGGUCUUGCUGUCACUUAUAGAUGGAUCCGCGCUGCAUUAGCUAGUUGGUAAGGUAACGGCUUACCAAGGCAACGAUGCAUAGCCGACCUGAGAGGGUGAUCGGACACACUGGAACUGAGACACGGUCCAGACUCCUACGGGAGGCAGCAGUAGGGAAUCUUCCGCAAUGGGCGAAAGCCUGACGGAGCAACGCCGCGUGAGUGAUGAAGGUCUUCGGAUCGUAAAACUCUGUUAUUAGGGAAGAACAUAUGUGUAAGUAACUGUGCACAUCUUGACGGUACCUAAUCAGAAAGCCACGGCUAACUCCGUG
rnacentral:rRNA from 1 species